GAUGAACGCUGGCGGCGUGCCUAAUACAUGCAAGUCGAGCGCAGAGACGUGGUGCUUGUACCUUUUACAUGAGCGGCGGACGGGUGAGUAACACGUGGGUAACCUGCCUUUAAGCGGGGGACAACUUUGGGAAACGAAUGCUAAUACCGCAUAAUAUCUUUAAACACAUGUUUUAAUAUUGAAAGAUGCAUUUGCUACACCCAAUGAUUAUCCCUCCUUGUAUUAGCUAGGUUGGUAAGGAAAGGCCCACCCAGGCCAAGGUACAUAACCCAACGGGGAGGGUGAUAGGCCACAUGGGGACUGAGACCCGGCCCAAACUCCUACGGGAGGCAGCAGUAGGGAAUCUUCGGCAAUGGACGAAAGUCUGACCGAGCAACGCCGCGUGAGUGAAGAAGGUUUUCGGAUAGUAAAACUCUGUUGGUAGAGAAGAACGUUGGUGAGAGUGGAAAGCUCAUCAAGUGACGGUAACUACCCAGAAAGGGACGGCUAACUACGUG
rnacentral:rRNA from 1 species